CGCGUAGGUGGUUGUGAUAGUCAGAUGUGAAAUCCUUUGGCUUAACUGAAGAACUGCAUCUGAAACUUCAUAACUCGAGUACAGGAGAGGGAAACGGAAUUCCCGGUGUAGAGGUGAAAUUCGUAGAUAUCGGGAGGAACACCAGUGGCGAAGGCGGUUUCCUGGCCUGAUACUGACACUGAGGCGCGAAAGCGUGGGGAGCAAACA
rnacentral:rRNA from 1 species